AAAGGGAGACCUAAUUCAGGUAGGAGACGAAAAAAAAGUAGUCGCUACCAAGAAUCAAUCCCAAAAGGUCGGAGCGAGGCGAAAUUGGCUUUCAAACUAGGUUCUGGGUUCACACAAGACCUGAAUCAGGAACAAGGGCUAUUAGCUCAGGUGGUUAGAGCGCACCCCUGAUAAGGGUGAGGUCCCUGGUUCGAGUCCAGGAUGGCCCACCUGCACAGGUGGCAAAAACAAGAGAAGCUCCGAAUCAGCACCUUAUCUUACUGACAUAGUAAGAGAGAAUGCUGGCUCUGAGUAAAGAGUCCAGAGGAACCUUGAAAACUGCAUAGAGCUAGGUGAAAAAGCCAAAAAAGAAGACCGCAAG
rnacentral:tRNA from 1 species